GUGUAGCUCAGUGGUAGAGUAUGUGGUUAGUAUGCAUAAGGCCCUGGGUUCCAUCUCCAGCAC
rnacentral:tRNA from 1 species